rnacentral:piRNA from 1 species
UUUCAUUUUGUCGCAACAUAC